rnacentral:rRNA from 1 species
AGUGAACGCUGGCGGUAGGCCUAACACAUGCAAGUCGAACGGCAGCACAGUAAGAGCUUGCUCUUACGGGUGGCGAGUGGCGGACGGGUGAGGAAUACAUCGGAAUCUACUUUUUCGUGGGGGAUAACGUAGGGAAACUUACGCUAAUACCGCAUACGACCUACGGGUGAAAGCAGGGGAUCUUCGGACCUUGCGCGAUUGAAUGAGCCGAUGUCGGAUUAGCUAGUUGGCGGGGUAAAGGCCCACCAAGGCGACGAUCCGUAGCUGGUCUGAGAGGAGGAUCGGCCACACUGGAACUGAGACACGGUCCAGCCUCCUACGGGAGGCAGCAGUGGGGAAUAUUGGACAAUGGGCGCAAGCCUGAUCCAGCCAUACCGCGUGGGUGAAGAAGGCCUUCGGGUUGUAAAGCCCUUUUGUUGGGAAAGAAAAGCAGCAGGUUAAUACCCCGCUGUUCUGACGGUACCCAAAGAAUAAGCACCGGCUAACUUCGUG